rnacentral:rRNA from 1 species
UGUGCCAGCAGCCGCGGUAAUACAGAGGGUGCAAGCGUUAAUCGGAUUUACUGGGCGUAAAGCGUGCGUAGGCGGCUAUUUAAGUCGGAUGUGAAGCCCUGGGCUCAACCUGGGAACUGCAUUCGAUACUGGGUAGCUAGAGAUCGGUAGAGGGCGGCGGAAUUCCGGGUGUAGCGGUGAAAUGCGUAGAUAUCCGGAGGAACACCGAUGGCGAAGGCAACCGCCUGGGCCUGAUCUGACGCUGAGGCACGAAAGCGUGGGGAGCAAACAGGAUUA